rnacentral:lncRNA from 1 species
UUAAACAGCUGAUUGAAGUGGGCACUUGACCUCAACGAAGAUAGACCGCCUGCCGGGAAAACGCAAUACAUCAAGGUUUCCUUCUUUUUCUUCCCUCAUCGAUGAGAUCCCAACGGCUAUAUUUUUCCCUUCUGCGUCUAGAUUUCUUUUUAUUUUGGCGUAGUAGUUCUGUGAGUUAAAAGGGGGAGAACUAGCCAUUAAAUGGAUUCCUUCUCUCCCGUUCUUCCGGGCCUGCUAGCUUCCUCACGCAAACAAACGCUUUCCUAAGAAAAAACUUCGUCUUACAGGUAUGUUGCUCCGAAUCCGUCCUCUUCGUGUCCUUUGUUCCCACCCUUUUCCAUCGAUUUCUGUGACGUUUUAGCUUCUUAAUGUUGGAAGUCUUUAUGGUUUUCUUGGUUUCUUUCCCUUUAUUUUUUUUGUUUCUUUUUUUUUUUUAAUUUUUAUAUGUUUCACUGGCGGGGUUUCAGUUCCUGCGAUUAUUGAUCUUCCUGUGCUUAGUGCGGGGUGCGUUGGUUAAAAGUUUUGUGAAUUCUUGGAGUUCACCCACUUAUUUUAUAUCUCUUUUGGGAUGUUUGGAGAUGAGUUCUUGUUUUCAUUUUUUUUCUUUUUGUUCUAAUAACUGGGUUUUGAUCAAGUUUUUUUUCACUUUGAGUCUCAGUUAUUGCUUCUUCUUUACUCAGGGUUGACUUUGUGUCACCGAUGCACUUUGCCCUUUCGCAUGCUUAUUGGGAUCCUUCAAUUAAAAAAAAGGUCUGUCGUUGAUUUCUUAUCAUCUUAUGGUUGGUAGAUCUGAAAUGGGGGCCAAGUGUUGGGGCAGAUCUUCGUCGCUUGGCCAACUAUUUUUCUUCCUCUGAGGAGCUCGUCAUAAGGCCGACCUCAUUAGAAUGCCAACC